GUGCCAGCAGCCGCGGUAAUACGUAGGGUGCAAGCGUUAAUCGGAAUUACUGGGCGUAAAGCGUGCGCAGGCGGUUUUGUAAGUCUGAUGUGAAAUCCCCGGGCUCAACCUGGGAAUUGCAUUGGAGACUGCAAGGCUAGAAUCUGGCAGAGGGGGGUAGAAUUCCACGUGUAGCAGUGAAAUGCGUAGAUAUGUGGAGGAACACCGAUGGCGAAGGGCAGCCCCCUGGGUCAAGAUUGACGCUCAUGCACGAAAGCGUGGGGAGCAAACAGGAUUAGAUACCCUGAUAGUCC
rnacentral:rRNA from 1 species